UGAAGCUGUGUGCGCAGUGAAGGCCGG
rnacentral:piRNA from 1 species